UGCCUGCCGGAGGGACGGGUGGUGGCGGUGGUGGACAGCACCCACAGCGCCCCCCCCGUGCAGCCCAACCGCACCACCCUGUUGGAUCCAAGCUGCGUCCCCAUGGAAACGGACAGCGCGCGGGCACUGUUCGUCUUUGACGUGGGGGCCUGUGGCACGACGCUGACGACUGAAGGUGAUCUGCUCAUUUAUGAGAACCAGGUUAGAAAUCAUCAGGAGUUUCUUCCUCUGGUUGGAGACCCUGUGAUACAGAGAGAUACUCCGUACAGGCUGACCCUCCAGUGUCGCUACCCGGCCAGCGACUCCAGGAACCUCUUUUCGUCCCCGCACGUGUAGCCCAACUCUGGGCCUGAGCUCCUCACUUCACAGCAGGGACGGCCUCCAGCUACGGCCAAGUUAUGACCAGACACUCGUGGCUAUCCUGGAGACGGGCUGAUUCUCUACCUUGGAACUCAGACAUUUAUAAGUGAAUCCAUGCGUCGAAUGUUGAUGCGUUCUUUUUUUAUCCAAUGGCACCUUCUCUGCAAAUAUACCCAUCAAUAAACUCUCUGAUUAGCAAAUGCUUUUCUUUAAUGCUAUGGUUGGCAACUUGGAGAAUCCAGCCAUAGUGAACUAGACUUGAAAAGUAUCCAACUGAAAAGAUCCCACCCCUCCCUUCUAUAACAACAAGAUGAAAUGGAGAAAUAAGCUUGCCUUGCAUUUUUUCUCGCCCUUGUGGGGGCCUGGGUAAAGGAGGGGGGUGCCAUAAAUAUUUGGCUUGUUAAGCCCUUUGAGACUGUAAUGCUGAUUAAGGGCUAUACAAAUAAAAUUGAAUUGAAUAAUAAUGAAACCACAAAUGUUGGCAUAAUAUAUGGAAUGUAUAUUUUCUAAAGGGUUAUU